rnacentral:rRNA from 1 species
GACGAAGGGGGCUAGCGUUGUUCGGAAUUACUGGGCGUAAAGCGCGUGUAGGCGGUUGUUCAAGUCGGGUGUGAAAGCCUUGAGCUCAACUCAAGAUAUGCACUCGAUACUGGAUGACUAGAGGACCGGAGAGGAUAGUGGAAUUCCCAGUGUAGUGGUGAAAUACGUAGAGAUUGGGAAGAACACCAGUGGCGAAGGCGGCUGUCUGGACGGUUUCUGACGCUAAGACGCGAAAGCGUGGGGAGCAAACAGG